rnacentral:rRNA from 1 species
UACGUGUGUCGCAAGCGUUAUCCGGAUUUAUUGGGCGUAAAGCGCGUCUAGGCGGUUUGGUAAGUCUGAGGUGAAAAUGCGGGGCUCAACUCCGUAUUGCGUUGGAAACUGUCAAACUAGAGUACUGGAGAGGUUGGCGGAAUUACAAGUGUAGAGGUGAAAUUCGUAGAUAUUUGUAGGAAUACUGAUGGCGAAGUCAGCCCACUGGACAGAUACUGACGCUGAAGCGCGAAAGCGUGGGGAGCAAAAAGG